CUAGCCUUGACAUAUAUUAGAACUCUGCAGAGAUGCGGGGGUGCCUUCGGGAGCUUUUAUACAGGUGCUGCACGGCUGUCGUCAGCUCGUGUCGUGAGAUGUUGGGUUAAGUCCCGCAACGAGCGCAACCCUCGUUCUUAGUUACUAACGGUUCGGCCGAGGACUCUAAGAAGACUGCCUUCGCAAGGAGGAGGAAGGUGAGGACGACGUCAAGUCAUCAUGGCCCUUACGGCUAGGGCAACACACGUGCUACAAUGGCCAGGACAAUGAGACGCAAUACCGCGAGGUGGAGCAAAUCUAUAAACCUGGUCUCAGUUCGGAUUGUAGUCUGCAACUCGACUACAUGAAGCUGGAAUCACUAGUAAUCGCAGAUCAGCAUGCUGCGGUGAAUACGUUCCC
rnacentral:rRNA from 1 species